rnacentral:tRNA from 1 species
CACAACGAAGCUGAUUCAGCAUUUAACUGUUAAUUAAAAGGCAGCCUUUUAAGGCCGAUGUGA